UGGGGAAUUUUGGACAAUGGGGGAAACCCUGAUCCAGCCAUCCCGCGUGUGCGAUGAAGGCCUUCGGGUUGUAAAGCACUUUUGGCAGGAAAGAAACGUCGCGGGUUAAUACCCCGCGAAACUGACGGUACCUGCAGAAUAAGCACCGGCUAACUACGUGCCAGCAGCCGCGGUAAUACGUAGGGUGCAAGCGUUAAUCGGAGUUACUGGGCGUAAAGCGUGCGCAGGCGGUUCGGAAAGAAAGAUGUGAAAUCCCAGAGCUUAACUUUGGAACUGCAUUUUUAACUACCGGGCUAGAGUGUGUCAGAGGGAGGUGGAAUUCCGCGUGUAGCAGUGAAGUGCGUAGAUAUGCGGAGGAACACCGAUGGCGAAGGCAGCCUCCUGGGAUAACACUGACGCUCAUGCACGAAAGCGUGGGGAGCAAACAGGAUUAGAUACCCUGGUAGUCCACGCCCUAAACGAUGUCAACUAGCUGUUGGGGGCCUUCGGGCCUUGGUAGCGCAGCUAACGCGUGAAGUUGACCGCCUGGGGAGUACGGUCGCAAGAUUAAAACUCAAAUGAAUUGACGGGGGUCAUAGCUGUUUUCCU
rnacentral:rRNA from 1 species